GAUGAACGCUGGCGGCGUGCCUAAUACAUGCAAGUCGAGCGAACGGACGAGAAGCUUGCUUCUCUGAUGUUAGCGGCGGACGGGUGAGUAACAAGUGGAUAACCUACCUAUAAGACUGGGAUAACUUCGGGAAACCGUAGCUAAUACCGGAUAAUAUUUUGAACCGCAUGGUUCAAAAGUGAAAGACGGUCUUGCUGUCACUUAUAGAUGGAUCCGCGCUGCAUUAGCUAGUUGGUAAGGUAACGGCUUACCAAGGCAACGAUGCAUAGCCGACCUGAGAGGGUGAUCGGCCACACUGGAACUGAGACACGGUCCAGACUCCUACGGGGGGCAGCAGUAGGGAAUCUUCCGCAAUGGGCGAAAGCCUGACGGAGCAACGCCGCGUGAGUGAUGAAGGUCUUCGGAUCGUAAAACUCUGUUAUUAGGGAAGAACAUAUGUGUAAGUAACUGUGCACAUCUUGACGGUACCUAAUCAGAAAGCCACGGCUAACUACGUG
rnacentral:rRNA from 1 species